rnacentral:rRNA from 1 species
CGGUUGUUUAAGUUUGGUGUGAAAUCUCCCGGCUCAACUGGGAGGGUGCGCCGAAUACUGAAUGACUUCGAGUGCGGGAGAGGAAAGUGGAAUUCCUGGUGUAGCGGUGAAAUGCGUAGAUAUCAGGAGGAACACCGGUGGUGUAGACGGCUUUCUGGACCGUAACUGACGCUGAGACACGAAAGCGUGGGUAGCAAACAGGAUUAGAUACCCUGGUAGUCCACGCCCUAAACGAUGCAUAUUUGGUGUGGGCAGUUCAUUCUGUCCGUGCCGGAGCUAACGCGUUAAAUAUGCCGCCUGGGGAGUACAGUCGCAAGGCUGAAACUCAAAGGAAUUGACGGGGGCCCGCACAAGCGGUGGAGCAUGUGGUUCAAUUCGACGCAACGCGAAGAACCUUACCUGGGCUCGAACGGCUGGUCAACGGCGGUGGAAACAUCGCUACCCCGCAAGGGGGUCCAGUCGAGGUGCUGCAUGGCUGUCGUCAGCUCGUGUCGUGAGAUGUUGGGUUAAGUCCCGCAACGAGCGCAACCCUUGUCCUGUGUUGCCAUCAUUCAGUUGGGAACUCGCAGGAGACCGCCAGCGAUAAGCUGGAGGAAGGUGGGGAUGACGUCAAGUCCUCAUGGCCUUUAUGUCCAGGGCUACACACGUGCUACAAUGGGCGGUACAAAGCGUCGCUAACCUGCGAAGGGGAGCCAAUCGCAAAAAACCGUUCUCAGUUCGGAUUGCAGGCUGCAACCCGCCUGCAUGAAGCUGGAAUCGCUAGUAAUGGCAGAUCAGCACGCUGCCGUGAAUACGUUCCCGGGCCUUGUACACACCGCCCGUCACAUCACGAAAGUGGAUUGUACUAGAAGUCUGCAGGCUGACCCGCAAGGGAGGCAGCGGCCCAAGGUAUGAUCCAUGAUUGGGGUGAAGUCGUAACAAGGUAACC